rnacentral:tRNA from 1 species
GCAUUGGGGGUUCAGUGGUAGAAUUCUCGCCUGCCACGCGGGAGACCCGGGUCCGAUUCCUGGCCAAUGCA